rnacentral:rRNA from 1 species
AUUGAACGCUGGCGGCAUGCUUUACACAUGCAAGUCGAACGGUAACAGGGUGCUUGCACCGCUGACGAGUGGCGAACGGGUGAGUAAUGCGUCGGAACGUGCCGAGUAGUGGGGGAUAACGCAGCGAAAGUUGUGCUAAUACCGCAUACGUACUGAGGUAGAAAGUGGGGGACCUUCGGGCCUCACGCUAUUCGAGCGGCCGACGUCUGAUUAGCUAGUAGGUGAGGUAAAGGCUCACCUAGGCGACGAUCAGUAGCGGGUCUGAGAGGAUGCUCCGCCACACUGGGACUGAGACACGGCCCAGACUCCUACGGGAGGCAGCAGUGGGGAAUUUUGGACAAUGGGCGAAAGCCUGAUCCAGCCAUGCCGCGUGUCUGAAGAAGGCCUUCGGGUUGUAAAGGACUUUUGUCAGGGAGGAAAUCCCUAGUGCUAAUAACACUGGGAGAUGACAGUACCUGAAGAAUAAGCACCGGCUAACUACGUGCCAGCCGCCGCAGUAA